UGAAAUUAGAGAAGGAAGAUCCAUACAAAUGUGUUGUGGUGCAGGGUUCAUUUGGUUUGUUCUGUUUCCCCCUAAAGUUAUAUUGGUUCGGUCCUGGGGUUCCCCUCCCCUCUUCCCCUGGCAACCCCUCCUUUUGAGAGUGUCAAUUUGUUGUCUCCUCCCCUGUUUCCCUGGUUACCCUCUGUCAAUCCCUCCCUGAGUUCCUGUCCAUCACCCACUGUUCCCUUCCCUCUUUCCAGAAAGUUCUCCCCUCUUCGGUGGGUGAUUGGAUCGGGUGCAGGAGUCCCUCCCUGUCACAUUUCCUAUUGGCUAGCCGGAUAAGGGGAAAACUGAGAUCCAGAAGAAAAAUCUUAGCAGUCAAGUGCCGGAGACGAAACAAAGUACUUUGCGACACCAUAGCAGUCAAGUUAUCAAGGUGGGGCACUUUUAAAAGGAAAUACGCAGCUCAAGCCAGGUACGACACCCAUGAAGGAUAUUCCUGCUGCCAAGAUGGUUUUCCCCGCUGCUGGAGGCACCCCAGUGGGCGUAGGCAGAGGCAGAAGGAUGAAACUAGGGGAAGUCCUGACGAGCCUCAGUCUAGUCAUGUGCCUCAGGAUUAGCGCACAUCCACUCAGCUUGAGAGAACAGGUCUCCAGUAAUGAGUGUGGACCGUGCAUGCGAACCAUCCUGGCCAGACGGGGUGAAGUGGAGGCUUCCACCCAGCAAGCCCUGGGAAAUUGUGAAGAAGGUAGAAGAGGCAGGUACUGUUUCUUCAACGGCACCCGAUACGGGAUAUGUAAAAUAAGUGGAAAGGAGAUUUGCUACUUGAAAGAGGCAGCAUCUAAGACUGGAGAGUCAGAGCAUGUCUGACGCAAAAGAGAGGUGAGACAAGCACCCAUCCCAGUUGGUAACAGAUGUAAUCGUAUUGUAUGGACUGGGGGUAGGAUGGAAUCGGUGUUUGUUGCAUACUUCCAGAUGAACAAACUGUGUUAUGAUAAUAACCUACUGGAAAUGUGUAUAAUGGGGGAAAAACAUACUGGGUGGGAAAGAACUUAAAAUACGGGAAUAAGUUGCCACUCAAAAAGAAGCCGGUUAUCAUUGACCUUCUCAAAGAUCAUGAUGACUGAACACGUUAACAGUAUGACAUGACUUUUUGUUUCUCUCGGAACAAAGAGGGAAUGGACCCAGAGAGUAAAAUACAACAAGUGGCCCAAGAGCUAAAAAGACAGGACGCAGAAAUGAGGGAAAAGAGGGAAAAGAGGGUGGAACAAGAAAGGCUGAGGACCUUAAGUGAACAAUAUCAUCAAUUAGAGAAACAGUGUAACGAUCUGGGGUUGCCUGCUUCGGACAAAAAUCUUUUUAUAGACUUGAUGCAGGAGAUCGUGAUGGAAUUAAGAUUGUCUAAUUGUUGGAUUUGUGGAGGACUGAAAUCAGCAGAGAAAUAACCUUGGAAAGAUGAGAGUUUAUCUCCAGAGCAGCUUCUUAAAUGGGAUAACACUAAAAUAUCUGGACUAAUACAAUGGCCAGAGGGCUGGGUUUUGAACCAACGAGUAAUUGGAACAAUUGGUAUUAGCCGGGAAGGGAGGGAGUAUACCAAAGUAGUUGGAUAUACCCCGUGUAUCUCUACUCUAGUGGUAAAUUCAAAUACUAAAAGUAAAACCUGGCAACCAGAGCCCCCACAGGGUACUGGAGCCGGGAAAAGGGAAACAAUUGUGAAUGGAGUGAUAAAAUUGAACUAUGCUGGAAUAAAGCCUCUGGAGCUAACCCUUACAAUCUCUGGAAGGAUUGAAAGGUUAUUGGAACAAACCAGGGAGCACUGCCAGUAAAUGGAAGGCCUCUAAUGGUUUAUACUGGAUCUGUGGAAAAAAGGCUUAUAGCAAAUUGCCUCAGAAAUGGAAAGGCUCCUGUACCUUAGGAAUAAUAAGACCCGUGUUCUUUACUUUACCUCGGUCAGAAAGCAGCUCGCUAGGAGCUCCUUUGUACGAAACUCUGAACAGACAAAAGAGGAAGGUAAAGAAGAAAUUUCCUAUUUUUGAGGGAAGCCAAACUUGGGGAGGGGAAGAGUGGUCCGCAGAACAAACUAUAGAAUAUUAUGAACGAGAAACCUGGGCAUAAGAUGGAAGUUGGGGUUACAGAACCCUGAUAUACCUACUAAACCAGUUAAUAAGACUCCAAGCAGUAGUGGAAAUAGUUUCAAAUCAUACUCAGACACCCUGGAAUUACUAUCUAAACAGCACUCUCAAAUGAGGGCAUUUGUGUACCAAAUCAGGAUAGCCCUAGAUUACUUAUUAGCAGAGGAAGGGGGAGUCUGCGGGAAAUUUAACGAAUCGGAAUGUUGUAGUCAUUGAAAGAGAGACCAUUAGGAGUUUGGCAGCGGAAAUAAAGAGGGUGGCUCAUGUCCCAGUCCAAAAAUGGAAUUCUAUCUUAAAUGCCUCUUGGUGGGAUAAUCUGUUUCAUGGAGCAUGGUGGAAGAAACUAAUAUUCUUCAUCCUUUGCUCAGUAACAGGAAUCAUAUUCUUACCCUGCCUGAUACCAUGUUUCAUCAGAUUAAUACAUUCAGUAGUACAAGGCAUGCAAACAGCAGCCAUGCCCAGGGACCCCGAAUGUGCCACAGAGAGGACAUACCUGGUCUCUAAAAUAAUGAAACUAGAGGAAGGAAAUCCACACAAAUGGGCAGCAGACGCCUUGGCCCAAUUUGAAAAACAAGUAAAAGGAAAUGAGAUUGGGUAUAAAAUGUAUACCCAGGAAAUACCCAGGGAGGAAUGGGAAAACGAAAAUGGGACUGAAUAAUGUUUAUGCUUAUGUUGUCUUUGUUUGAGCACAAAAUCAAUGUGUGUGAGGUAGGAUCACACACGUGGAAAAUAAAAAAAAAGGGGGGAGAGGGCUAAAAAUAAGUAUGUAUAAAUAUUUUUAGAAGAACAGCACUAAUUAAUAGAUUUAUAAAAAGAGAGGGAGGAUUGUUAUGAAUAAGGUGGUAAUUUGUGCCAGAAAUGUAAGAUUAUUAAUGUAAUAUAAAAUAAAGUCUUAAGAUCAUGCCAGAAAAGGAGAGAGGGAGAUUGCCACACAGAAUGACAAAAGCCACAACUCGCAGCUGAGGAGGAGGUGUAUCAUUAACAUACAAAGAAAAACUAGCCCGCACAGGAGAUGGGCACUCCCGAUGGUGUGAACGAGAAAACGAGAAAACGCCCAGCGAUGAUGGCCCAUGAAGAUGUUCACCUCAGAUAGACAGAACCAUCAAAGACAUACAUCUGAAUGAAGGAUUCCGGGAACUGGGGACAGAUAUACAUCAAUUCCCAGGGGAGGCUUUGUCCAGCGCAGGACAGAGAAUUGACACUGCAAGAAUAUGAAGAACUCCAAGAGGGGACAAAGGGACUCCGCCGCGGGCAAGAAAAAGUAUAAAACUCAAACUCAGCCAGGCGUCAUUGGUGAACAGGGGGAUUCAGUGUGAUAGAGGCUGGAUCAUAGUUCACCUACUCCGAUCCCAGGGUCAGGGCCGCUUUUUGAUUGGGAGAUUUUGUACAUUGGGAGAGAGUAAAUUUUAUUUUUAUUUUUGAUUUAA